GUCUGUCUGCCUUAGUCAGUAGAGCAUAAGAUUCUUAAUCUCAGGGUUGUGGGUUUGAGCCCCACAUUGGGCA
rnacentral:tRNA from 1 species